GUGCACCAGGCGAGAAACCUCCGCAAUGCGCGAAAGCGCGACGGGGUUACCCCGAGUGCCGUCCGCUGAGGACGGCUUUUGCCCAGUGUAGCCAGCUGGGCGAAUAAGGAGAGGGCAAGUCUGGUGUCAGCCGCCGCGGUAAUACCAGCUCUGCGAGUGCCCAGGACGAUUAUUGGGCUUAAAGCAUCCGUAGCCGGUCCAGUAGGUCCCUAAUUAAAUCUGCAAGCUCAACUUGUAGGCUGUUAGGGAUACCGCUGGACUUGGGAAUAGGAGGGGGCGACGGUACUGCGGGAGAAGCGGUGAAAUGCGUUGAUUCCCGCAGGACCCACAGUGGCGAAGGCGGUCGCCUGGAAUAUCUCCGACGGUGAUGGAUGAAAGCCAGGGGAGCGAAAGGGAUUAGAUACCCCUGUAGU
rnacentral:rRNA from 1 species